CAGCAGCACGGUAAAACGGAGGGGGCUAGCGUUGUUCGGAAUUACUGGGCGUAAAGCGCACGUAGGCGGCUUGGUAAGUUAGAGGUGAAAGCCCGGAGCUCAACUCCGGAAUUGCCUUUAAGACUGCCGAGCUAGUAGGUGAGAGAGGUAAGUGGAAUUCCGAGUGUAGAGGUGAAAUUCGUAGAUAUUCGGAAGAACACCAGUGGCGAGGGCGGCUUACUGGACCAUUUCUGACGCUGAUGCACGAAAGCUAGGGGAGCAAACAGGAUUAGAUACCCGUGUAGUCCCCUGUCUCUUAUAC
rnacentral:rRNA from 1 species